GAUGAACGCUGGCGGCGUGCCUAAUACAUGCAAGUCGAGCGAAUGGAUUAAGAGCUUGCUCUUAUGAAGUUAGCGGCGGACGGGUGAGUAACACGUGGGUAACCUGCCCAUAAGACUGGGAUAACUCCGGGAAACCGGGGCUAAUACCGGAUAACAUUUUGAACCGCAUGGUUCGAAAUUGAAAGGCGGCUUCGGCUGUCACUUAUGGAUGGACCCGCGUCGCAUUAGCUAGUUGGUGAGGUAACGGCUCACCAAGGCAACGAUGCGUAGCCGACCGGGGAGGGUGAUCGGCCACACUGGGACGGAGACACGGCCCAGAAUCCUACGGGAGGCAGCAGUAGGGAAUCUUCCGCAAUGGACGAAAGUCUGACGGAGCAACGCCGCGUGAGUGAUGAAGGCUUUCGGGUCGUAAAACUCUGUUGUUAGGGAAGAACAAGUGCUAGUUGAAUAAGCUGGCACCUUGACGGUACCUAACCAGAAAGCCACAGCUAACUACGUGCCAGCAGCCGCCGUAA
rnacentral:rRNA from 1 species